rnacentral:rRNA from 1 species
AUUGAACGCUGGCGGCAGGCCUAACACAUGCAAGUCGAGCGAGCGGCGGACGGGUGAGUAAUGUAUGGGGACUGCCUGAUAUAGGGGGAUAACUAGUGGAAACGGUGGCUAAUACCGCAUACUAUCCGAUGACCCAUAUGGGAUUAGCUAGUGGGUGGGGUAAAGGCUCACCUAGGCGACGAUCCCUAGCUGGUCUGAGAGGGUGAUCAGCCACACUGGGACUGAGACACGGCCCAGACUCCUACGGAGGCAGCAGUGGGGAAUAUUGCACAAUGGGCGCAAGCCUGAUGCAGCCAUGCCGCGUGUAUGAAGAAGGCCUUAGGGUUGUAAAGUACUUUCAGCGGGGAAGCGUUACCCGCAGAAGAAGCACCGGCUAACUCCGUGCCAGCAGCCGCGGUAAUUC